rnacentral:sRNA from 1 species
GCCAGGUGCGGUGGCACACACCUGUAAUCCCAACGGCCAGGGAGGCUGAGACAGGAGGAUCUUGAGUUCAAAGCCAGCCUCAGCAAUGGCAAGGCACUAAGCAACUCAGUAAAACCCUGUCUCUA